rnacentral:rRNA from 1 species
AUUGAACGCUGGCGGCAGGCCUAACACAUGCAAGUCGAACGAGUGGCGGACGGGUGAGUAAUGUCUGGGAAACUGACCGAUGGAGGGGGAUAACUACUGGAAACGGUAGCUAAUACCGCAUACCAUCGGAGGUGCCCAGAUGGGAUGAGCUGGUAGGUGGGGUAACGGCUCACCUAGGCGAAGAUCCCUAGCUGGUCUGAGAGGAUGACCAGCCACACUGGAACGUAGACACUGUCCCGACUCCUCCGUGAGGCAGCAGUGGGGAGUAUUGCACAAUGGGCGCAAGCCUGAUGCAGCCAUGCCGCGUGUAUGAGGAAGGCCGUCGGUUUGUAAAGUCCUUUCAGCGAGGAGUCGUUACUCGCAGAAGAAGCACCGGCUAACUCCGUGCCAGCCGCCGCGGUAAUUC